GACGAACGCUGGCGGCGUGCCUAAUACAUGCAAGUAGAACGCUGAAGAGAGGAGCUUGCUCUUCUUGGAUGAGUUGCGAACGGGUGAGUAACGCGUAGGUAACCUGCCUUGUAGCGGGGGAUAACUAUUGGAAACGAUAGCUAAUACCGCAUAACAAUGAAUGACUCAUGUCAUUUAUUUGAAAGGGGCAAUUGCUCCACUACAAGAUGGACCUGCGUUGUAUUAGCUAGUAGGUGAGGUAACGGCUCACCUAGGCGACGAUACAUAGCCGACCUGAGAGGGUGAUCGGCCACACUGGGACUGAGACACGGCCCAGACUCCUACGGGAGGCAGCAGUAGGGAAUCUUCGGCAAUGGGGGCAACCCUGACCGAGCAACGCCGCGUGAGUGAAGAAGGUUUUCGGAUCGUAAAGCUCUGUUGUAAGUCAAGAACGAGUGUGAGAGUGGAAAAUUCACACUGUGACGGUAGCUUACCAGAAAGGACGACUAACUACAA
rnacentral:rRNA from 1 species